rnacentral:rRNA from 1 species
UACGGAGGAUGCAAGCGUUAUCCGGAUUUAUUGGGUUUAAAGGGUGCGCAGGCGGAAGAUUAAGUCGGUGGUGAAAUUUUGCAGCUCAACUGUAAAAGUGCCAUUGAUACUGGUUUUCUUGAGUGUGGAUGAAGUAGGCGGAAUUUGUGGUGUAGCGGUGAAAUGCAUAGAUAUCACGAGGAACUCCGAUUGCGCAGGCAGCUUACUAAACUACUACUGACGCUCAGGCACGAAGGCGUGGGGAUCAAACAGGAUUAGA